CGUAGCUCAGUUGGUUAGAGCACUACCUUGACAUGGUAGGGGUCGGUGGUUCGAGUCCACUCG
rnacentral:tRNA from 1 species